UACAGAGGGUGCGAGCGUUGUUCGGAAUUACUGGGCGUAAAGGGCGCGUAGGCGGUCUUGUAAGUCUCGUGUGAAAUCCCUCGGCUUAACUGAGGAACUGCACGGGAUACUGCAUGACUUGAGAUCGGGAGAGGGAAGCGGAAUUCCGGGUGUAGCGGUGAAAUGCGUAGAUAUCCGGAGGAACACCGGUGGCGAAGGCGGCUUCCUGGACCGACACUGACGCUGAGGCGCGAAAGCUAGGGGAGCAAACGGG
rnacentral:rRNA from 1 species